AGGGAUAUAGCUCAGUUGGUAGAGUGCUUGCCUUGCAUGCACAAGGCCCUGGGUUCAAUCCCCAGUACCACCA
rnacentral:tRNA from 1 species